rnacentral:rRNA from 1 species
AGCGGAGGAAAAGAAACCAACAGGGAUUGCCCUAGUAACGGCGAGUGAACAGGCAAGAGCUCAGAUUUGAAAGGCACUUUUGUGCCGUUGUAUUCUGAAGUUAGGGUCCUGAGAAACGAUGCUUAAGUCUUCUGGAAAGGAGCGCCAUGGAGGGUGAUAGCCCCGUCUAGCAUUGACCUCAUAUAGGAUCUUAACAUGGAGUCGAGUUGUUUGGGAAUGCAGCUCAAAUGGGUGGUAUGCUCCAUCUAAAGCUAAAUAUCUGCGAGAGACCGAUAGUAAACAAGUACUGUGAGGGAAAGAUGAAAAGAACUUUGAAAAGAGAGUGAAAAAGUACGUGAAAUUGUUGAAAUGGAAGGGUAGGCCGCUAACCAUGUAGAGCCGUGUUUGGGGGGAAGAUAAAUGCUGUAGAAUGUAGCUCCUCGGAGUAUUAUAGAUGCAGUUCAUAUUCCCACCCGAGCGCGAGGAUCUCAGGUUCUACUAAAUGGUGGUCUACCACCCGUCUUGAAC